AGGACGAACGCUGGCGGCGUGCCUAACACAUGCAAGUCGAACGAGGUUCAACCGGUAGCAAUACUGGCGAAGACCUAGUGGCGAACGGGUGAGUAUCACGUGAGCAACCUGUCCCGAAGACGGGGAUAACACCGGGAAACCGGUGCUAAUGCCGGAUGUCCCCACCGAGUCGCAUGGCUUGGUGAGGAAAUGGAUUCCGCUUUGGGAGGGGCUCGCGGCCUAUCAGCUAGUUGGUGGGGUAAUGGCCUACCAAGGCUUCGACGGGUAGCUGGUCUGAGAGGACGAUCAGCCACACUGGGACUGAGACACGGCCCAGACUCCUACGGGAGGCAGCAGUGGGGAAUCUUGCGCAAUGGGCGAAAGCCUGACGCAGCAACGCCGCGUGAGGGACGAAGGCCUUCUGGGUUGUAAACCUCUUUCAGCAGGGACGAUUAUGACGGUACCUGCAGAAGAAGCCCCGGCCAACUACGUGCCAGCAGCCGCGGUAAUACGUAGGGGGCGAGCGUUGUCCGGAAUUAUUGGGCGUAAAGAGCUCGUAGGCGGCUUUGAAAGUCGGGUGUGAAACCUCCAGGCUCAACCUGGAGCCGCCACUCGAAACUUCAAUGGCUAGAGUCCGGUAGGGGACCAUGGAAUUCCUGGUGUAGCGGUGAAAUGCGCAGAUAUCAGAGGAACACCAGUGGCGAAAGCGGUGGUCUGGGCCGGAACUGACGCUGAGGAGCGAAAGCGUGGGGAGCGAACAGGAUUAGAUACCCUGGUAGUCCACGCCGUAACGUUGGGCACUAGUGUGGGGACCUAUCGACGGUCUCCGUGCCGCAGCUACGCAUUAAGUGCCCCGCCUGGGGAGUACGGCCGCAAGGCUAA
rnacentral:rRNA from 1 species